rnacentral:lncRNA from 1 species
UGGGUAGUAGGCUAACCUGGUUCAUUUGCUGAGGUCCUGAAGCUUGAUGAUGCAUACAUAGCAAAUGAAACUUGUUUUCUCUCAUGCCAGGCAAAAAUCAUUGGCAGGAAAAUCACUCUUGGUGGUUGUUUGUUUGUUUUUUUUUUUUUUUUUUUCCUACUGGAAGAUCUGAAGUGUUGACUGUCAUCUCAUGGCUCCUAUAUCAGACAGUGAGAUGAGACACAUAGCUCCAUAACCCCGGUGGCUCUGUCUGCUAAAAUUGAAGUGGCCUUGUUUCCCCGGAGCACUAUAUCUACAUUUGUUACCCGUAUCCUUAUAAAAACCCUUAUUAAUCACUUGCUAAUGCUGCUUGGUUUAAAAAAUGAUAAAAAAGGAAUGGAGGUGAUUCUUCUGUAUUCUCUGCUAAACCAUCAUUAAGAUGUGCUUUCACAUUCUCAAAGAAUUUCAAAUUUGAGUUCUGCUCUGGAGUGAGACGUACAGGACGUGUGUGUGUUGAUCAGCCAACAUUCAAAUCAGGAAGGGUUCUAAUGAGGAGUUUUGGGAUGCUGAUAUAUCUACAGAAUUGUGUUCUUUAAUUUUUCUGUCAUUUCCUCAUUAUGAAGCAGCUUGAGAAGCUGAACGGCAAACUGAGUGUGCAGCUUUUUUUUAAUGCUGGCACUGAGUACAUCUAGUUUAAUGUACUUCAAAGACAUAAUUCUCUGAACUUGGGAUGUGGAAGCUGACAUCAAGUGUGUUAUUUACCCAAUUCAUGCAAUAUGUCCAAGCACGUAAGAGAACUUUUAAUCUGUGUACAUAAAUAUAGAGAUACACGCACGUCUAUGAGUGAAGUAUAUUUUCUUAUGCAGCCAGGUGCCAUGUACAUGGUGCAUAUCCUAAAUGCACCGAGCUCUGGAAUCCUAGAAGGAAGAGGCACGUGUGCAUAUGAUUCAGCCCAUACUGAAGUGCUUCAGUAAUACAGAAUGUUCUUUAGCUUCUGUCUCUGCAAAUGUUGAUGCUUCUGUUGGUGUCUGGGCAGCAUGACUGUGAUUGGGUUUGGGGAGGAGGAGGAACUGAUGACUCCGGGUUUUUGAGGCCAACUUCAACUUUUGUUGAAGAGGGUCCUGCUGUGCUUCUUGUAGGCAUGAAAUACUUGAGCCUUUUUGUCGAUAAGUCUCAGAAACUUAGGUAGGAAAUGGGAUUUCCAGUAUUGGUGAUCAUCGCUGUUGACUUUACCUGUGAACUUGUACUGGUGCUCUUAGUCUAUUGACAGUUAUGCUUCUGUUGUUGAUGCACUGGUGAGGUGACUGAUUUAGCUCUUUCAACAACUGCCACCAGCACUACUCUCAAGAAUACACAAACAGGUUUACUGUGUGGCUUUGAAUUUGGUAUUGUACAGAUGUGAACUGUUCUAGCCCUCUGUAUGGGAAAGGUGGGGGUCUCUGUGGUGUAACAAACAUCCAGAUGGCAUAAGGAAUGGUCUAAUGCAAUCCAAAGGAAGUUAACUCACCUGAGUUUGUGCCUGCUGAUCUCUAGGAGUGUUCUUACUCUGUUUCAGUGGCUGCCAUUUGUUCAUGCAGAUGACACGCUGGGCCUCUUUGCCAUCAUGGUAUGAAUCUGUGCAAGGACUGCUCGCUGCCUUCUUGCCAUUUGUAGCGGCUGUAGAUGAAACUGAUAAAACAUUGCAGUAAAUAGCAGAGUACUAAACAUUGAACCAAGCUUGUUCCUGCAAGAAAUGAAGGAGAGGCAGCACUCGCUAUGUCAGUACUGUCCAAUACUGCUCACGAUAAAAGUCUUGGAUCCCUUCUGUAUAAGAAAGAGCUUUAUCCUUAAUUGCCUGCAGGACAUAGGAGAGCAGUACUAGAGGUAGGUAAGAUUUUUCUACACUCUAAAGAAGGUAAUUACACUUGGGGGGACAGAUAAGUUGAUUCCAGCUUUUAAAUUACUCUUCUACUCCAAGUAACUCUGGCUUUUAUUGGCAUUAAGAAGUCCGGGCAGUGUUGUCUUUGGCAUGCUCUUCUACUUGCAAGAUGUGGCAGAAGUUGGGCUCAGGACAGUGCACAAAGGUACUGCCGUGGAUUGGUAGAAUUACAAAAAUGAUGCGCUCGUGGCAUUUAUGAAGAAAAUGUUCCUUUUUCCUAGAAGUUAACUGUCUUCACCCCAUUUGGCUUCCAAGUAGCCAGAAGUUCAGUGCAGCAAAUCCUUUUUCUCCUUUUUCUAUUUUUUUUUUCCUAUGUGAUUUGAUGAUGGAAGUGUUGUCUGUGCUGAACUGGGAGGGACCCCCAAGAAAGGCCGAGUCCAACUCCUGGCUGCACAACUGUAGACAUAAAAUUAUAUUGGCUAAGAGUGGAUGCUGGGGAAAAUUAGCAAAGGAAUCUGUUUUACUGUGAAAUACAGCUUGUGAUCUAAAUUGAUUAGAUGGAUGCUCUGUUGCAGCUGAUCUACAUCCUGUAGGAGGGGAUAGCAGACUAUAUGCAGGAGGAGGAGAAUCCACUUUUAUUAAUGCAGUUGAAAUCAAAUACUUCAGAAUGAGUGACUGGGCACUCCCUGAAGUCGUGUUCUCCACCCUGCGCUUCUUUACUUUCAAAGAAGAAAAUAAACUUUUCUAUCAUUUACUGUAAUAAAAUAAUCUUUGAUAAAAUAAUCUGGGCAGGAACACCAAUGCAGACAGCAGACAAGUGAUUUAAAACAGAUGUGAAAUUCCCUCUGUGUAGAAAAUUAGAGGCACUGGUGAUGACAUUAGACACGUAUGACUAAUCAGAGUUAAUGCUUGCUGUUGCCAAUUAGCCCUAUUAGCACAAGCAAUUUGAGCACAGGAUGACAUUACUUUAAUUACUGCAAGCAGCUUGUUCAUUUAUUGAGCAGUGUGCAUUCAGAAAAGGCUUACUCUGUCUGCAGAUUAAUCAUAACCUUCUUCAUCAUUAGAAAUUCAGGAAAACUGAGGGAAGAAAGACUUCACCCCCAGAAAGAGGGAAAAUGGGGUGAUGGAAGACUGACGGUAAUUUGGGUAUUCUACUGCUAUCCUUUUUUUGAUAAAAAGACAAAAGCUAUUGUAUGAUUUCUGUCUGAAAUCUGUAUAUGAGUGGGACAAAAUUGCUGCCAUUAGAGUUAAGGCAGACAUUAUGACCAUUAGGUGGUAGCAAUGCAAAAAAAAAAGAAAGAAAGAAAGAAAAACCGUGUGAAGAUGUACAGCAAAACUAAGGCAGGACAGAGCUAGAGGAGGGAGAAAGCUGAGUAAGAAACCCAGAGCUUAUUUCCUGCUCCUUUAGCACACUCCAUUUUGCUACUCAUGCACAUGUGCUCUGGUUCUUUGGCACAGGGGGAAGAGUUUUUUCUCUUUUUUGGAGCAGUGGUUUUGCGUGGCUCCGUGCCACAGAGUGCUCUCAGGAUGAGUGUAUUUCUGGUCUCUUUACUGUGCUGAAGGUGGUGCUGCAGAGAUCUCCACAGCUCCAUUCCUGUGUUAAAGGGCAGAGGUAUGUACACAGUGGGGAUCCAAGUGAAAUAAACAGCAGGAUUGCAGAAGAUGGCAGCAGCUGACAGCCUCUGAACUUCCCCCCCCCCCCCCCUUUUUUUUUUUUUUUCUGGUGGGGGUGUUUGGUUUUUUUUGCUUUUAAAAUGAGGUCACUGCCUGAAGGUGUCUCUUCUCUGAGCACACAGUAUGCAGUGGUGCCUGAAAAGUUACCAUGCUUGGCAAAGGCUGGGAUUACAGCAGCACUAUUAAAAUAGCUGUGAGACGAGGAUGGGGCUGUAGGGACAAAGGCUGCUGCAUCUUCUGGGCUGCAGAGAGUAACUUCAGUUCUUCUUGCCAAUACUAGGGGGUAGAAAAUUUUCCAUUGUUAUUUUCAUUUUUUUUAGCCGUGGCACUACUAUUGCAAUUCUGGUCGUGUUGUGAAAUCCCUACCUCUCUGCGGGGGCACAAAAAGCAUUGUAAGAGUCCUUUGUCCGUUUUAUUCGAGGAACAAACCCCUAAGGAGAAUGAGACAGUGCUUCAGCUUACAGUGUAGGAGAGGAUGCUGGGCUGCUGCAGGAAAGAGAAACGUCUACACGUGGGCCCCUAAAAGACUGAAGGUGCCCUAAUCCAUAAAGUGGUAUCUCCCUCAACUCAUUCUCCCCCUAUCCCAUUGUUAGAAGUCAUUUAUGUAGGAACGCAUGAAGAUGCAGUCCCGUGAGUGUGUGAGGAAUCCAGUAAACCCAUGAUCUCUAAUUUGCAUCACUCUAAUCACCGAAUUCAUAUUUUGAUAAGAGGGAGAGGAGGCAAGAAAGGAAGGAGCAGUGAAACUGCCGUAGUUAAAAUUGUUUCUAAAUCUACAUUUCUGUAGGGGUGAAACAGAACUUACCAAUUCUCCUUAUUUUGGCUGGGAUACAGUUAAUUUUGUCCUAGUACUGAUACAGUGCUGUGUCUUGGAUUGAGGAUCAGACUGAUGUUUAUAACACACCCAUGUUUUGGUUGUUGCAGAGCAGUGCUUGCAGUGAACCAAGGCACAGGCUCAAACUCUGCUAAGGCUUCUCAUGCUAUCCCGUAACUCUUUGAUGUGCACUGGCAAACCUCUAGUUUUUAUCAGGUUGCAUUUGCACAGGCUUUAGGGCUCUCUUAAGAGGGCAUUCACAGUGUAAUCUCCAUGCUUUGGCUGAUAGGAAGAAAUAACAUAAAAAUAUAUUGAAUUGUUUUCUGUGCUUGUUUAGCGACCUGCAGUAUUUGGCUGAUGGAGCGGUCAGCAGCACAUUAGGCUGUACUUACCUUAUGCAGAUUGUUUCUGUGACAGUGCCCUUUCCCAGUGCAGAGCUGCCCACCUCACUCACAUUAGUCACAAAUGCCUUUUGCUCCAUCACACCCAGCUGCAUUGCUCCUGAAACAAAUAAGGAACAUUCAAUGUAAUUAUAUUUCCAUAAAACUGAUACUUGUAUUUCCUUAGCUUUGACCUUUCGACUUUCCGGAGGCUUCCACCACCUUCUAUAUUGUUAAAGCUAUUUUCUCUGGCUCCAUUCUUAAAGUAAAAAUCUAAAUAAGCUUGUGUGCUUUAAAGCAGUCUGCACUGCCCUAUCUUAAGUCAGUUCUUGUGCACAGCACCAGGUUUGCUUUCCAAAUGCAAGCACAGAGUAGACAAAAAUGUAAAGAGGAGAGCUCAAAUACAAAGUAAGUGUGUAAAGAUACCAUUUUGAGCAAUUCUGAGUCAGCUGUUGAGUUUUCUAAUACCAUUCUCAUGUCACUUUGUUGUCAAUCUGUUGGCAAAUACCACUGGCACAGCAGCACAACCCAGGCCCUGAUAAUGGACACGUUCAGCUUUCUUUGGUUCCUUAACAUGUGAAAAACUGUUGCUGCUUGCACUGGACAGCUGUCUUAGCCUGUGUUGGACAAGGAGAGGCCAAUGGGCAGUUAGUAUCAAGUGCAAGUAGAGUUUUGACAUUUCACUGUUCUGUAAGAUUGUAUUAGUCUAAACAGCAGUCUUCUGUCUCCUUCUGUCUCUUAAAGUUUUUUUUUUUAGCUGUCCUGAUUUAAUUUCAGAAACUGACUGUAGUUUCCUCUUAGAAGACAGCAAAAGUUCAUCAUUAGUAGAACAUUUGCAUGCCAGCCUGCAACCUCAACUUGGUUUAUUUCUGGGCUUCUCAAGACACGGUCACUCUGCUGAAGGCGAUCCCACCCCUCCAUUAGCUUUUAAAACCCGGUGAUCAGUUACCGGAAUCCCCCACGGAUCAAUGAUGGGGCUGUCCUAGCAUUUGCAUAACUGAUGUGGAAGAGCACACAUGGAAGGGUGAGCAGGUUUGUCCUCCAACCUGAAAUAGAAGAGUGAAAUGGUUAGUCAUCAGCACAGUGUUAAAAAAAGAUUUUGCAACGCUGAAUAAAAACAGUCGAUAAAACGGCAGGUGAAGCUCUAUGUCAGUAAUAUCCCAGCAGUGUGCUUGGGGUUUUAGCACUCAUAACGUACAGAGCGAAACUUGCAGCUGCCACACUGAGCAAAAAGCCUCAGAAUUAUGUUUUAUUUUUGGCAAAUAGCAACGUUACGCUAGGUAGUAGUCUAAACAACUGGAGGGAUUUCAGAGUUUACUAGAAACAAGAUAAGGACCUUACCUCUAUGAAUCCAUUUGUACUCAAAUACCGCUUCCCUGCAAGCACGGAAAGAAUAACAGUAAAGGGUAUUGAGAGCAACAGCAAAGAUGAGCAAAGGUAAGAAACAUACACAUAUACACGUGCAAAACAUCUUCUGUCUUCUGCACUGAACAAAGGGACCGAGAACAUGAUGAAGACAGAGAAAAUCACAAAGAGAAAAUGAUGGAUUUCCUGCACAAGAAAUUAACUGUCAAGCCAUGAAUCUGUAAACUAUAUAAAGCUCAGGUUUAAAAGUGGUUAGAGAAGUUAAUGACAGCUAAUAAGAACAUCAGGUCUGCUCACUACAUAGAAAUCCUCCUCAGCUCAGGAGGCCCACGUGCCAGUUACCAAUGGGGGUAAUCAGGAGCAGGAUCCUUCCUCCUUCCUCCUGCCAUCUAUUACUGUCUCUCUGAGUCAGAUGAACUGCGGGUGCCUGCUUGGAAAAGUAAGCUGCGAACCACAUCUGUAUUAAAAGGAGGGCUCAAAACGUAGAACAUUUCUCACUUGUGUAAACAGCACUGUGUAUUAAUCACAGAAAUACUGGCAUAAUUGGACACUUUAAAGUACAAAUGGAACUUCUCUGUCAGCUGGUUUCAGAUUAGAUAUUAAUAACAUUCCAACAGUGCCUCCAGCUAGAGGGAAUGAGGCCCACAGCACUACUUGAUUAUUACUGUAUUUUCAUAUACUAUGCCUACAAGGAUAAAAAUUGGUUUGGAAGUGGAAGCUGAUUUUAGAGCCCUUUAACUCCUCACUGAGAUACAGCCCUCUUAUGGCUGUUGGAUGCUUUUGCCAACUACAGAUGAAGAAAUAUUGUAUUCUGAAAGUUAGAGCUUGCUGGCAUCUGACACUCCUUCCUUACAUUUGAGCUUUGUAGCUCCUUAGGCUCAGUAUUACCAUCACAACAGUAAGUUAAGCGUGCCAAAAUACAGACAGAUUGGCAUUAAGGCUGUUUUAAAAACACUGUUAUCCUUAAGAAAGCUUUUCUAUGCUUUGUGUCCCCUUUUAGACUCUAAAUACUGGUCAGAGUUUGGAAUAAAUAAUACAAUCUACGUCGUUAUGAUACAGCCCAUCUUCAUAGCAAAGAGCACAUAAAGAACCGUUUUCUGCUUAUUUUUCUGUUGACAAGUUCUGCAUUAGAAAAGCACUUACACAAAGCCAAGCUUUGCACAACAAUAGUUUUCCUACUUCUCCCAAUGCACGUUCCCUGCAAAUAGCUACGUUUUAAUUCCUUCCUGUUAAAAUUACUUCAUGAAUUUUGAUCCGUGAUGCAAUCUCCCUAGAAGCCUUAUAUCGUGAUGCUGAAUUGAAAUGAAAUGUUUCCAUACUACAUGAUAAAUACCCAAGCAUUGUUACGGAGAGCACCCCAAUGUUCUGAUAGAAUCCACACUUACCUACAUCCCAGGAUCAGCUAAGGUGAGGGUGGGUUACAAUGAACCUUACCGUGUGGGUUAUGAAGGUGAAUCCACAGAGCAGCUGAAAAAAUGUCCCGAAGCUUUACUUAAGCCUUCUGUGUCCUUUGCCAGAAGUGUGUUUCUGAGGAGCAGAAGGUAUUUCUGAGGGUGAAAGACAGGAGGGCAGGAGGUCAAAUUCCUUAACAGCCACAACACAUCAAAAAAAAUUGAUUUGGAAAAUCAAAAAAAGAUCAAAUUGUUGGCUUUUUUGGUAGCAUCUUUUGUAUAGCAUUCAUACAUACUGUGUAACCCUGUAAGAGUAACCAUAAAUAAAAAGCAUUUCUAGGAAACAUCAUACCAGUUAUUAAAACAUCCCCAAUUCUUUUAAGGCGUAACUACAGAAUAAAAGGGAAAACUUCAGUGACAGCUAUGGCUGGGAAGAAAAUAUGCUCUCAAGAUCAGGUACAGUAGCAGAUGACAGAUCAACCAGAGGCAGAGUAGGUCAGCAUCUCACCUGCAGUCUAGAUAGCGAUGGAAUCCACAGAGAGGAAUGGAGAUAUCUGCUCGUGUCACCUUGAGGACAGUGAUACUCAUCUGUCCGAUUCUGACAAUGUCUCUCUUUUUGUGUUGCUGUUUUUUCACUUAAAAAAGGAGCACUAACAGCAUGCACAAUUUCUGAAGAAUCAUCCGAGCCCAAGGCACUAGGGCUGCAUCCUUAAGCCAGGUGAUGGAAGUAUGGUUAUGAACAAUUUCAUGAACUGCAGAGUUAAUAUUUACUGUUAUAAAUAGUUAUUAUUCUAUAACUAUUUCAGCAAAAUUCAAUAUGAGGGCUGGCUGAGGAACCAGACUGUGCAAUAGAACAGAGCCCAGAAAACAGAGCGAUAAGGAUACAUAGAUAUGCCUACAGACAAAUGUAAUCCACUUUGCUUACAGUGGGAUUAGUCUGCAGCUAAGAGGACUAUUUUACUAUUCAACAUUUUCAAAAUAGUCCAUGAAUUAGGACUUUGUUUUAAAAGUGCUGGCUUGAGAAAUGAUUAGCAUGCUUCUUAAUAGCCCAGAAUGACUCACAAGGCAUUGUGGUUGACACCAAUUGCAUUUUAAAGGUCUUCAUCUACAGAAGGCUAAUAAAAAAUAUUUUAGAUGCAUCUAAAUAUUGAAAUGGCUUUGAAAUCAUUAAAUUUUCCCUAAGUAUCACAUACAUUCUGCAAAUAAGAGUUAAUGCGGGAAUAAAAAGCAAAUAAAGUAAGCAAGCUAACCACAAAUAUACUUAAAAUGAGUAAAUUUCAUUUAUAUAAACUACGAAUGUCAUUUUCUAUCUGUAGACCACGCAGCGAUAAGUGGCAGAUAAAUGUGAUGUGCUUUAAAGAUACGGUAACAAUUUCUGAAACCAAGAUCAAGAUGUCUGUUAUGAGAAAAAUCAGAGAAAAGAAAAUGAUUUGCCUAUUUCUAACAUCUGAGCUUCAGAUCAGAAGAAAGCAGAGCUGCCACUUCAGAAGAUAAGCAUUUUAGAUUUCAACAACUACAGUAAUUGCUUGCAUUGUGCACGCAGGAGAUAUAGGAUCUGUGCAGUGAAGGAAACCAGAUAAUACGAGGCAGGUCACUCCUGCCUAUGGAGUUAAUGAUGGAUUUUCCAGCAUUUUAUCAUUAGCUGUCUUCUCGGUGCUUGAGUUACAACUGAAAAAGGGCCUGGGGAAAAUACAGCAUUUUUUACAGUCACAGUCUAAAAUCUGAAACCACAUCUGUGGUUUAUUCCAGAGAUGCAAUUCAAUGCAAUCUUAGGACAGCACAAAAUAAGUUUUGUUUUGUUUUUUUAAACUUUACAGUGAUGGUUUUUCUGUUAACAAGCAGAUUUUCUUCAUAUCGAGGCCUACAACUAACUAAAUGUAGUCAGCAGUAACAUUCUGCAGAAUUAUUUUGAAAAGGUAUUAUUGGCUGUUGCAGCCUCACUUACGUGGUAAAUGAAUAUAAGGAUGAAAAAUAGUCAUUCAUAGAAUCAAAUCAAAGGCAUAAAUGUCCUUUCACAGAUGGGACAGUUAUCACUCUGUUCAUCUAAUCGAGAUGACAGUAUGGAAUAUGGAACAAACCUGGGGUGACCCAGUUCAAAAAUAGGCAAGUAAAAACAGUUGAAAAGCACUUAUCUCAGUUCAUCUUGCAGCACAGUCAGGUUUCUGCGAUGCAUCCCGGUGUCUCCUGCUAAACGAUACAGCAGAAGCACUUGCAUUGCUUUCCCUGCAUUUUACAAUGAUUUCUUCCAGCUACUUAUGGCCAAAUUUAGCUCUAGAAGCACCAAGAGUUUCAGCAAGUACUUACCAGCAAGCUGUUUGCUGGUAGGGCUAAAAUAGAUGCUAUUUUAAUUUUGAUACGCAAGACUUGAAAGAUUAUGAGCUACAGCUUUUUCAGAUGCCACAUUUCAUAACCCACCAUCAUUCUCCACUUUGAGCAAAGUCUCAUUUCAUAUUUGACUUGAAUUUGAGUGAAAAUAACUACUGAUUUACAAAACUACUAGACUGUUCUACCUAUAGCAACCAACAGCCAUGAGUCCCACUCAGCAGGGCCCCAGGUAGAGACAGGCUAACAUAAUGGGCCAGAAUAUCAAUUACCAGCAGAAAUUCUUGAAUGGAAACUACAUUUAUGUGAACUAAGCAAAUGUUUUUGGCAAGGUUCUCCAGGAAACUGGUGCAGACUAUCAGCAACACCAGCUAAAUAUUAAGAAUACUGAAAUAUAUUGAUCUUGGUUUUGGAUAUUUUUGGAUUUUACUUUGAUGCAACGUUGAAGAGUUAUCCGUAUUGAACAGACAUCAUUAAAAAUUGCCUCAGAUCAUCUCUGUAUAAUUGAGAAUAGAACAGAGCCUUGUGCAACCCCUACACCGCAAGUCAGGCAAGGACUGAAAUAAGGGUACUUACAUAAGAACCAGUUGUUCAAGUUACAUUACAGUUUGCACCCUAAUGUCCACUAGCGGUAUUGAAGAGGUGGUGCUUACACAACUGCUGGGCUUACAUGCCGCUGCCUGCACAUUGGCAAAAUACAUCCUACUCCUCUUUUCCUCGUAUUUUGAGAAAGAAAAACUUUAAUGUUUUUCCUUAGUCUAGGGGGCAGCCUGCCAGCAAAAAGACAACUUUCUCUUCCCACCUUUCUAUGGAACCACUUUUGCUCAACCACAUAAUUCAAAAAACCAUCUACAGUCUUAAAAGUAAUUUACUGAGACCAUUACUGAGGUCCUACUAGGGACCAUUCUUCUCACAGAAUAGCAUCUUGUGACUGAGAAAUCCAUCAAAACGUAGUUUUUAAGUAUGAGGUUUCUUGUGUUAGGACUUUGAUGAUGAAACAUUCCCUGCGACCUUCAGCAGAGACUAAAUUUACCAACUUCUAAAGACUGGAGUAAACCAUUUUGAUUAGCAAACGACAGAUGAGAAAGCAAGGGUCUAUUUUUGUGCAGAUAUCCUUACCCUCUAGCAGAGGUAGUCCUUCUGACCGCCCACAGCAUUUCUUUCCUUUGUUGAAUCACAUGAGGGUGAUGCCAGAUGCUGCAGUUACUGAUAGAAAUUCUUUUCACAGAGAUGCAUUAAUGGUAUCCUGGACAUAUAAAGAAAAAUAAACUGGAAACAGAAUAAAAUUAUUCCUAUUUUUAUCAUGCUAGCAAAAUAUACCUUGAGAGAAGUGUUUAUCACCAAAACAUUUAGGAAAUUGUGCAUUAACACUUCAAGAGGAAAAUGCACAUUUACCUUUUCAAGACAGUAGAUACCUAAUGAAAAACAGGCAUAAGUAUUUUAAUAGUCCAUAAUUUUUCUUGUUUUUCCAGUAUAUGCAAGCUUAUUUGAUAAAUAUUAUUCAAUUACAAAAGAAAACUAGUAGGCUAGCUGUCUGCCAGGCAUAUUUCUGAUUUUUUCUGGUUUAUUUAAUUUGCUUUAUUUGAUUAUUUAGGGAAAAAGGAGCCUGUAAAUUUUCAGUAAUAAUUGAACUGCGGUGCUGUGAGAAAGAAAGAAGGGAAAGGGGAGAGGGGAAGAAGGUGUGGAGGGAGGAAAAGAAGAAAGGAAAAAAAUAAAAUGCAAAGACAUACCUGAUCUUCGAACUAAUCUGAAGGAAAAUAUGCGUUUGUUUUAGCUCAGCAUUUGUAAAUUGAAGUUAUUACAAUUCAGGUGAAGAAUUGAUGUACUUCCAUAUUCUAUGUCAAAAAAUAAAAGAAGUGUAAUCUUACUCUGCAGGCUAGCUUACCAAGUCAGGAAUUUGUGGCUGAUGUUCUGAAGAACAAACUUAUACUUCUGUGAAACAUGGAGUCUUUAAAAAAAAUGAUAUGUAAAUAUUAAGCAAGUUGUUGAAUUCUUUUUUGAGACUCCUAAGACAAGACCAUACCUGCUCAUACUGUCAGAUGGGAGAGAAAAGUGCUAGCUUAAAUAUUCAGAAACACUUUCUUGAGGAUCUACUGAUUCCUAAAUCAGGUACUUACCAACCUGAAAUUAUACAGUAUGAAAAUCACCUGUUACAAAAAUGAAUUAUGGUUUUGAAUACAGACAUCUCAAUCUGUGCAUCAUCUCUUCUUGAAACUAUAAAUAGCUUGAAGUAGUACUUCCAAAAGAGUUACAAAUCACUCUUACUUUACUUCCAUUGCCAGAUGAAUACAGUAUUGUAAACUAAGAUGGCUGUCAUUUCACUCUGAUUUGCUACCUACAAAAGAAGCAAUCCAAUAAGAGUGACUGGGAAAGCAGUAAAUUGGUAACUUUUCUCCUGUUACGUACCUAAGCACGAUAAAAAUCAAAAUAAGAAUGCUGACUCAAACUGAAAACAUGAAUCACAAAACCCUCUGAUGCCAUUCUUAAAGUGUUCAUCAAGAGAUGAAAGCUGAUAAAACGUGCCCAUAGAACAGUAUUUGUAAACGACCAGUCAGAUGGUUGUUCAACAAAGUAAUUAGUUUUUCUCUACUUGGCAAGUGGAAUAAGCAUUAUCAGAAAACAGACUCUCAAACAAGAGGGCUGAAGUCUGAGACCAGGCUCAAAAACCUACUGGAGAUCAAGCCCUCCACACCAUUCUAUCUCUGACUACUCGCAGGUACAGAAAUGUGUUUACUUCCUUGUUUUAAUAGCAGCAAAGGUUUCUGCUGCAUUUGAGAUUUUUGGACUGCACCUCCAGCAAGAUGGUUUUGCACCUGAGAGCUGCCUUAAAUAAAACUGCUUCCUUCCACCCAAGGACUCCAAACACAACAUACUGAAUGAAAAACAUUACAAAAUAUAACAAUGAUUAGCCAUUAAUUUUUUCUUCACUUAGUAAAAAUCUAUGAGAAUACAUUAACACCUUCAACUACAGAAAUAACACACGUCCCACUUCAUAUUACUGUACUUACUAUUGUACUACACACGUGUUUCACAAAGACAACUCUGGCUUUGGAAGUUCUGCUGUAAAAAUUCGGAUCCUGAUUGGGAAUAGGGAAAAAGACCUACGUCUGCCUACACAAAAACAGUGAUCAAAAAGAAAAAACAAUUAUUUCUUCAAGCUAACCCUUGAAAGUCAAAGCUACAGCACUUGGAAUACCUUUCCAUCUGUGAACACAUAAGAUGAUCCCUUUUCCCUUGAAAAUGCAGCAGGCAAAAUUACUUGCAGUUUUGGUGAAUUAUGCGUGUGAUGCACAACUACUCCCUCUCUCUCAUGCACAAAUGCGUCAGCUUGCUGCAGCCCCACCAUCUGAAGGGGUAAGAAGCAAAUUCAAUCUGUUUGGACUGCACUUGUUCAGUUCUUCCUCAUCCAUCCUGGAAAUGCUAACAGCCCAGAUAGAAAUUCCAGCUGGAACUCAGGGUAUUGCAAUCAACUGGACACAUAUUAUCGCCAAAAGCAACAGGAGGGGCAGACAGACUGUGGAAGGGUUCUGCCCUGGUGACGAUACACAACUCUGUAAUUCCUAUACUUAGCCCUGAUGAAUUUUUCCUUACAUCUGUGGGAAGAAUCACAGGUUGACCAUAGGAAACACCGUGGUCUGCAUGCUAAAGAAGAUGGCAUGCUGCCCUGACUUAGAGAAGACAUAAGCAAGAGCUUACUGUGAUCUUAUUCUCUGAAGGCAGUUUGUUACUGUUUUGAAUGUUCACCAUUCCUGUCAAAGCACUUUAGUCAUGCUUUAUGAAGAAAAAACAGGAUACACCAAUCUCAUUUUUUUGUACACCAAGCUGUAAAGUUUUUGAGAUUACAUUUCACUUGACAGAAGACAUUUUGAAAUACACACAAAAAUUCAAAAGGAGAAAUAAAGAUUGAGAGUGGUGCAAAGAUAUGUAUCUAUGAAUCAAGAGAUCGGGUUCAGUUGUAGCAAAGGAG